UCCCAGAGACCAACAGAACAUGCUAGACCUGAUGGCUGACUCAAGUCUAAGACUCUGAAAUCAGAUCGGAGGUCAAAGGCUGCUGCCGCAUUUUCUGUGCAGAGCCUUGGUAGGGAGGAAACACGCUGAGAUAGGAUACAAAGAGUGUUCUCUGCUCAGAUCCUCCUUCUAUAAGUGGGGACAGACAAUUUGAGGUAUAGAGGGAAGAGAUGUCUUACUACAUGUCUAACAUGUUGCAAGGAUUCCAAUAAAAAUUUAUUGACAGAAAGGGUCUUUGGGAAUAAUAGUUGACAAAGUUGGGGCCCAGGUGCAUGUUUCCCAAACUGGAGUCCUGGAACUCCAGACAGGUAUCUUGAGGACCCCCAUGGAGAUGUGAGGGAGAGCAUUCCCAAGUGCCCUUCCUCCUCCUAUAACUGUCUUUGAUCCGAGUGGUUCUGCUUUUGUCUGUUUUAUAUAAUGAGAGUUUACCAUGGUUUUGUUUGAAAACAGUUUGAAAAUUGCCAGAAAAAUCCUGGAGGUGGAAAGAAGAAGAGCCUUUGGGACUAUAUGAUACAAUCUUAGCAGGAUAUUGUUACAGGAUAAAGGGGAGUCAGGCCACUUAGUAGUGUCACGGAGCAUGGUCAUAGCCACAAGACUGACCCUAGGCCAGUAGAGAGAAGACCUGCAGAAGAAGGAGAAAGAUGGCCAAAGAGAUCUUACGAAUCACUUCUCAAGGGCUUCCCUUUGGUCAUUGACUAUGAACCAACCUCCUGAAUAUAGCAGACAAGACCCUACUUCCUCCUCUUACUCUUCCCACUGUCUCUGUCUCUAUAUUCCAGCUACUCUUCCUCAAAUCUUGCCUGAAGAUCUUUGCAAAGGCCGUUCCCUCUGCCUGGGAAAUGUCCUUCCUCCUUUUCUGGGUUACAUAAGACUGCAACUUCCAUCUUGCUGAUCACCUUCUCACCUUAUAUGCUUUGAUGAAGCAAGCUCACAUGUUGGAAAAGCUCAAGGAAUUGAAUCCUGGCAACAACCACAUGAGUCUGGGAGUGGAUGCUUCACCCAGUCAACCUUCAGAUGAGAUCCCUGCCCUGGCCAACACCUUGAUUACAGCCUUGUGAGAGACCCUGAAGCUGAGUACUUAGCUAAGCAUGCCUCAACUCCUAACCCUCAGAAACUAAGAGAUAAUAAAUGUGUGUAGUGUUAAGCCACUAAGUCUUGGGGAUAAUUUCUUACACAGCAAUAGGUAGCUAAUAAGACAAAUAAGUGAAUAAGUCAGUAAGUGAAUGGAUUUGAAGUGAAGUGAAGUGAAUGAAACUGAAGACCUCACUAAAGGAAGGGGAAACUAAGACCUGGUGGAGGUGAGGGGGUAGUGUAGAGAGAGUGGACUGAUAUGCUCAAAGACAAUUGUCCAUGCUUCCUGUUUGAUUUUGUUUCUCUCAACCAUAGAAUCUAAAGGAGGCGUUUUGGGGAAAACUCUUCCAAAGUUUUUAGAAUCAGAAAUUCAACAGAGAACUUGAUGGAAAGGGUCAUGGUCAAGGGAAUAAAGGACCUAGAGGAAUAAGGACUGGAGACAAAAGAGCAAAAUGUUGCAUAUGAUUACCUUUGCAGCCCAAGCAUGAAGGGUAAAGAAUAUUCAAAACUGAAUGAGACUGGCAAAAAGCACCCAAGAGAUCAGCUGAGAUGCUAACAGAAGGUUAGUCUUCGUUCCCAAACAGUGGGUGGAGAGACGGAGGCAUGGGCCCUCCUGGAAUUUUAUUUCCUCAAACAUUAGAAAUCACAUACUUGAAACCUAUAAAGCCAUCCUAUAUGUUUAAAUAGAAAAGAAGGGGCGCCUGGGAGGCUCAGUCAGUUAAGCGUCUGACUU